rnacentral:lncRNA from 1 species
GCACUGGAUUGAUGAGAAUCCGGGCUCAAAACAUGGCCUGUUCAAUUUUUUCCUGGUGGUUUUUUUUGUUUGUUUGUUUUUCCUUUUGUCUUUGAACUUUGACACAGGGAAUUUCAUCUACUUUAUAUACAAAACUGAUACUAAAUGAGCUGUUCAGCCUCUUGUUUGAGGAGUUUUCUUCAUUCAAGAAAGUUUCCUUUAUUUCUUUCUGGUAAGGUGUUGAGAUACAUAACAAAUAGCAGCUAUUUGCUUCCUGGAUUAGAAUGGCAAAUAUUGUCCUCUGUUUGUUCUGGAGAGAGGAACUAUGGAUGCAUGCACCUCAAGAUAAGACCUUUCUAAAUGCUGAAAGCAGUAAACAGAAGUUAAAAGACUCUACUUGUUUUGCACUGUUAUCACCGUGUUUAUGUUUUUGUCAGUAUUCACAGAUUCCUCAGGUAGAAUGGGAAGUUCUGCAUUGAGUACAAUUUCUAGGAAUAGCAAAAAAUCCAUUUUUAAAGAUGUUUUCUGUCAGUCAUGUCUAGCUUGUAGCACAAGAAUAAAUUGCAUCUUGCUUGGGAAAGUGACAUAAACCCAUGGUUUUGUUAUGUCACAGAGGGAUUAUGGUGAGAGAGACAAGGAUCCCUCACCUGAGCUGUAAUUCCUCCUGGUGAAAUUGCUGUGGUUUUAACUAGGGCAUAAAAUGUCAUGUGGGAGCAGCAGGAGAGAGGAAAUGGUCAUUGUCCCUCACAGGAGCCGUGGGGCAGAGCAGUGGGUCAUUGCAAAGGGAAAGGAGGUUUUGACAUCGCUGGAUGCCAGCAAAGCUGAGGAUGUUGUGUGUGAUUGCUAUGUGGAAGAGAUGGCAAGUGUGAUGGAGCAAGGCUGUAUCUCAGGACCAUUUUCUGAGGAGAAUCUAGACUGUAAUUCCAUCUAUUAUCAGGCUCUGCACCAUAUUAAACUAGCAAUGACAUACUAUUAUUUCUGGAUGAAAAUCCUCAGCAGUUUCAAUCAGCUGUGCACCAUUUUUAAACUACAGCCACAGCCAAGGAGAACUCCCCAAGCCAGCAGGAAUCUCCAAGCUGUGUGCAGAGGUGAAGAGUGCUCCAUGGAAAUUCAUAAAUCAGGAGGCCUCUUCAGAACUCCCUGGACUUUCAGGAAUGCUGAAAUGGUGGAGCUGCAAUAA